UUUGGGGGGGAGGGGGCUCUCAGCCUGGAUUGUGAGAGGGUGCAGGCCAGGCCGAAGGACCCCACCGGUGCAUG
rnacentral:pre_miRNA from 1 species